rnacentral:rRNA from 1 species
GUAGGUGAACCUGCGGAAGGAUCAUUACUGAGUUAGGGUGCUCUCUGCGCCCGGCCUCCAACCCUUUGUCUACCUGACCAGAUGUUGCUUCGGCAGGCCCGUCGCCCUUUCACGGGGGUGGCCGCCGGGGGUCCUUUACCGGUCCCGGGCCCGCGCCUGUCGAUGGCCCUCAUAAACUCUUGCUUAAAACGUGUCGUCUGAGUUUAACAAACAAAAUAAAAACAAAACUUUCAACAACGGAUCUCUUGGUUCUGGCAUCGAUGAAGAACGCAGCGAAAUGCGAUAAGUAAUGCGAAUUGCAGAAUCCGUGAGUCAUCGAAUCUUUGAACGCACAUUGCGCCCCUUGGUAUUCCGGGGGGCAUGCCUGUUCGAGCGUCAUUAUCACCCCUCAAGCCCAGCUUGUUGUUGGACGUCGGCGGGGCCUUCGUGCCCUGCCCGUCUCAAAGAUAAUGACGGCGUCUGUGAGGACUCCUGUACACUGAGCUUUCGGGCACGUACUAGGUCAGCUCUCCAGGCCCGGUCUUUUAAGUCGCUUCGGCGACGAACUUUUACAAGGUUGACCUCGGAUCAGGUAGGAAUACCCGCUGAACUUAA